UUUUAUUUGAGAGUUUGAUCCUGGCUCAGGAUGAACGCUGGCGGCGUGCCUAACACAUGCAAGUUGAGCGAUUUACUUCGGUAAAGAGCGGCGGACGGGUGAGUAACGCGUGGGUAACCUACCCUGUACACACGGAUAACAUACCGAAAGGUAUGCUAAUACGGGAUAAUAUAUUUGAGAGGCAUCUCUUAAAUAUCAAAGGUGAGCCAGUACAGGAUGGACCCGCGUCUGAUUAGCUAGUUGGUAAGGUAACGGCUUACCAAGGCGACGAUCAGUAGCCGACCUGAGAGGGUGAUCGGCCACAUUGGAACUGAGACACGGUCCAAACUCCUACGGGAGGCAGCAGUGGGGAAUAUUGCACAAUGGGCGAA
rnacentral:rRNA from 1 species